rnacentral:rRNA from 1 species
AAGUCGUAACAAGGUCUCCGUUGGUGAACCAGCGGAGGGAUCAUUACCGAGUACAACUCGCCAACCCACUGUGAACAUACCUCAGUUGCUUCGGCGGACCCGCCCCGGCGCCCUCGGGCCCGGACCAGGCGCCCGCCGGAGGACCCCAAACCACUGAAUUACCAUGUGUAUCUUCUGAGCAAAGGCGAAAGCCGAAAAUGAAUUAAAACUUUCAACAACGGAUCUCUUGGUUCUGGCAUCGAUGAAGAACGCAGCGAAAUGCGAUAAGUAAUGUGAAUUGCAGAGCUCAGUGAACCAUCGAAUUUUUGAACGCACAUUGCGCCCGCCAGCACUCUGGCGGGCAUGCCUGUCCGAGCGUCAUUUCAACCCCUCGGGCCCCCUUCACGGGGCGGCCCGGUGUUGGGGAUCGCCCGCCCCCCGCGGCGGGCGUCCCCCAAAUCCAGUGGCGGACCUUCCGCGCCUCCCCUGCGUAGUACUGCACCUCGCACCGGAGCGCGCUGGGGCCCUGCCGUAAAACCCCCCACUUCUCAAGGUUGACCUCGGAUCAGGUAGGAAUACCCGCUGAACUUAAGCAUAUCAAUAAGCGGAGGAAAAGAAACCAACAGGGAUUGCCCCAGUAACGGCGAGUGAAGCGGCAACAGCUCAAAUUUGAAAUCUGGCCCCCGGGCCCGAGUUGUAAUUUGCAGAGGAUGCUUUUGGCGAGGUGCCUUCCGAGUUCCCUGGAACGGGACGCCAUAGAGGGUGAGAGCCCCGUACGGUCGUGCCACCGAGCCUCUGUAAAGCUCCUUCGACGAGUCGAGUAGUUUGGGAAUGCUGCUCUAAAUGGGAGGUGUAUGUCUUCUAAAGCUAAAUAUUGGCCAGAGACCGAUAGCGCACAAGUAGAGUGAUCGAAAGAUGAAAAGCACUUUGAAGAGAGGGUUAAACAGUACGUGAAAUUGUUGAAAGGGAAGCGCUUGUGACCAGACUUGGGCCCGGUUAAUCAUCCAGUGUUCUCACUGGUGCACUUGGCCGGCCCAGGCCAGCAUCAGUUCGGCGUGGGGGAUAAAGACUUCGGGAAUGUGGCUCCUCCGGGAGUGUUAUAGCCCGUUGUGUAAUACCCUGUACUGGACUGAGGUUCGCGCAUUCGCAAGGAUGCUGGCGUAAUGGUCAUCAGCGACC